rnacentral:ncRNA from 1 species
CUGGUUGAUCCUGCCAGUAGUCAUAUGCUGUCUUAAAGAUUAAGCCAUGCGUUUGUAAGUAUGAACAAAUUCAGACUGUGAAACUGUUAAUGGCACAUUAAAUCAUUUAUUAUUUGUUUGAUGGUAUCUACUACUCGGAUAACCGUAGUAAUUCUAAAGCUAAUACUUGCAACAAACCCCGACUUCUGGAAGGGAUAAAUUUAUUAGAUAAAAGGUUGACACGGGUUCUGCCUGUUGCUGUGAUGAUUCGUGAUAACUCGAUGGAUCGUACGACCAUCGUGCCUACCAUGGUGGUGAUGGGUGAUGGAGAAUUAGGGUUUGAUUUUGGAGAGAGAUCCAGAUAUAUGGCUACCACAACAAAGAAAAGCAGCAGGUGUGCAAAUUCCUCAAUCCUGACAUAGGGAGGUAGUGACAAAAAAUAACAAUACCAGGAUCAAUAAGUCUGGUAAUUGGAAUGAGUACAAUCUAAAUCCCUUAACUAGAAUCCAGUGGAGGGAGAGUCUGGUGCCAGCAGCCGCGGUAAUUCCAUCUCCAAUAGCGUAUAUUUAAGUUGUUGCAAUUAAAAAGAUAGAAGUUUGACUUUGGGAUUGGCCAGCCGGUCCGCCUAUGGUAUGUAUUGGUUAUCUCGUCCCUUCUGUCGGUGAUGCGCUCCAGGCCUUAACUGGCCGGGUCGUGUAUCCGACGCUAUUACUUUGAAGAAAUUAGAGUGCUUAAAGCAAGCCUACGCUCUAUAUACAUUAGCAUGGGAUAACAUUAUAGGAUUUCUGUCCUAAUACGUUGGCCUUUGGGAUCGGAGUAAUGACUAACAGGGAUAGUCAGGGCCAUUCGUAUUUCAUAGUCAGAGGUGAAAUUAUUGGAUUUAUGUAUUACGAACAACUAUAAAUGUAUUUUCCAAGGAUGUUUAAAUUAAUCCAGAACGAAAGUUGGUGGCUCGAAGGCGAUCAAAUACCAUCCUAGUCUCAAUUAUAAAUGAUGCCGACCAGGGAUCGGAGGAUGUUGCUUUUAGGACUCCGCCGGCACCUUAUGAGAAAUCAAAGUUUUUGGGUUCCG